rnacentral:rRNA from 1 species
GACGAACGCUGGCGGCGUGCUUAACACAUGCAAGUCGAACGGAAAGGCCCCCUUGUGGGGUACUCGAGUGGCGAACGGGUGAGUAACACGUGAGUAACCUACCCUUGACUUUGGGAUAACUUCAGGAAACUGGGGCUAAUACCGGAUAGGAGCUCCUGCUGCAUGGUGGGGGUUGGAAAGUUUCGGCGGUUGGGGAUGGACUCGCGGCUUAUCAGCCUGUUGGUGGGGUAGUGGCUCACCAAGGCUUUGACGGGUAGCCGGCCUGAGAGGGUGACCGGCCACAUUGGGACUGAGAUACGGCCCAGACUCCUACGGGAGGCAGCAGUGGGGAAUAUUGCACAAUGGGCGGAAGCCUGAUGCAGCAACGCCGCGUGCGGGAUGACGGCCUUCGGGUUGUAAACCGCUUUCGCCUGUGACGAAGCGUGAGUGACGGUAAUGGGUAAAGAAGCACCGGCUAACUACGUG